UGUUAUUGUUAGCCCUCCAUUUAUUUCUUAUUAUGAAAUUUGAAGAUCUACGUAUGGACAACUGAGCAUUUAUUCAGCUUCUACAAUCAUGCAAAGCCCAAAAAUCAGAGAAGUCAGAUUCUUUCAAAGCACUCAUUCCAUAGAGUUCUGCCAGUUCUCUGAUACAGUACUGGCAACGCCUUCUCUUCCGGUGACUGUAAAUUUGGUAUUCUAUUGCCAUUGGAAGAGCAUAAAUCUCUAAACACUGAGGAUUUCAGCAGAAGCCCUAAUGCUGUUGGAGAAGAUGAUGACUUGGCACCAUUACUAUGACUUAAAGGGGUCAAAUACUGAGCCAUACAGGGAAGUUUAUGAAUGUAGAAGUUCCCCAGUACUUGAGUGCAGCCAAAUCAUAUGCUCUAGCCGCAGCUUCUUCAUCAGCAUAAGCUCCUGUUCAGUAAGUCAAUCUCAAAAAGUUCAGUUUUCAACAUCAUGAAAAGAAACUGUGGGAACAAAACAGUUCAAGUGCUUACCCAAAUAUACUGAUCCAUACCACCCAACAAAUCCAAAGUUUCCAUACAAAAGCACAAAUAAAUGAACAAGGUGUGAGAAAUUAAAUCAAGAUAAGCAUAAAGAAGAACAUGACAAGUUAAUAAGAUAUGAAGCAGAUGAACGGUUAAAAACAUCAUUUAUAUGCAUACCUUGCUUCCCUUUCUUCUUCUGAGUUGGAUUCCAAGUCCCUUUGUCCCAUAAAUGAGCUUCAUACCUCCCUGUCCAUCUGUGUCUGCUUUUCAGAAAGAUAUGAUUAGCUUCAAAUCAUUAACCAAGUAUGCAUCUAUGUUAAGAAACAGUAGAUUACAUUUGAAGUUCUAAAGUUUUAGUAUAUCACUCCUGCGGUUCCUAUUAUAAGGUACCUCUAACUAUUUCAUUGGAAUCAGUCAUGAGUUAUUUUUUGUGAAAAUAGAAUAAACUUUCAAUUCUUUCCCUAUUUAAUUGAAAAUUUUCAAAUUUAUACUACAUUUUCUCUUAUAAUGAAUGAGUUUAAAUAGGGAUAAUAUUAGAAAAAUGUAAUUAAUACCCAUCAAAUGCCUUAUAUUAAGGAUCAAAGGAUCCUUCUAAUAGGCACCCGAUAAUAGGGACCAAAGGGAAUAUAUAAUAACUAGUUCAUAGAAGAGACCUGCUAACUCCACGAAACCUCGAACUUCUCUUGACAGUAGUAGUGGUAGCAGUUGAUUGACCACCCCGUGGUUGCUCUUGCUUCUCAUUACCCUGUAGAAGCACAACUGAUGAGUCUCUUCGCCGCCUUUUCAUGCACUUUAUGUCAAUAUUCCCGCCUUGCAUCAUGAACAACCUAUGGCUUCUUGGGCAGAAUUCAGUUUUUACAGUUGAAAGCUCCAUUUUGCUUUAACUGUAUAUGGACAAGAAAGGCCAAAAGACACAAGAAGUUAUGGUUUACUUGGAAUGAGAUAUAUACUCAUGUUGUUAGGAUUAGUUCUUUAUAUAUGCAUUGAACAUCUUGUUCUCAUCCUUAAUUUGCACCUUGUGUUGUAAUAUCUGGUUUUGUCAGAAGAAAAACAAGAAUGUCGAUGAAAACCAUUAGAAUGAGACACAGUUUUUGGUUGUCCAUACCCCCUAAAACCUAGUAUGAGAAUUGGGAUAUAAACAAAAUUAUUUGGUCCAAUGUAACAGAAUGUUCAAUCCAAAAUCGUCUCAGACCAUGUCUCUGAUAAAACCAAAGUAAGAAUAUUGUCAUAUGUUAGUUAAUCAAACAAAGACCAUGCUUUGGUUUAUAACGGAAGGUAACUAACAGAACAAGAGUGCUACUU